AGAAAUGAAACAAGCUGCGGUAAUUACUUUUAAAUUAAGCACAGAACACCAAGUGUCUGUUUGAUUUGCAAUGUUGCCUGUAUUUAUAGUUUAUUUUUUUCUGUUUUUUGUAGUGUUUCUUUUUACUUCACUUAAAAUUUUAAUAAUGUGCUGAUUUGUAAAUAGUUUGCAGCACUGAUAAUGGGUCAAAGAUAGGGAUAUGAUGAUCAUGAUAAUGAGUGAGCACUGCUGCUGCAGCCCUGAGCAAGGUACUCAACUGGAAUUGCUUCAGAAGACAUCCAGCUGUAUAAACGGAUUCUACGUAAAAUAAAAUGAAGAACCAGGUCCCUGUAUGCUGAUUCAAAUGUACGAGACAUGCUGGCAGGCAUAUCAAGCUCUUAUGUUUAUUUAUUCAUUUCUUUCUCACCACCUAUAAACCAGACCAGAACAGGAGGGAUUGUUCCGAGUGAAAAUAUUCCAUUCCUUGCCAAAACUGGAAAUAAAAAUGCUCCAAAUUUGGA